rnacentral:rRNA from 1 species
GACAAACGCUGGUGGCGUGCCUAACACAUGCAAAUCGAACGGAGAUUAUUGAUGAAGCUUGCGAUUUAAUAAUCUUAAUGGCGGACAGGUGAGUAACGCGUAAGUAACCUGCCCAAUAAAAAAAAUAACAACUGGAAACGGCUGCUAAUACCGCAUAGGUUUCUUGGUCGCAUGAUCGAGAAAGGAAGACGGCCUUUGNGCUGUCGCUUAUGGAUGGACCCGNGGCGUAUUAGUUAGUGGUGAGGUAACGGCUCACCAAGACGAU